rfam:Triticum aestivum genome assembly, contig: Triticum_aestivum_CS42_TGACv1_scaffold_080428_1DS
UAAGUAUUGCCUCUGUCCGGAAAUACUUGUCGGAGAAAUGGAUAAAAAUAGAUGUAUCCAAAACUAAAAUACAUCUAGAUACAUCCAUUUCUUUGACAAGUAUUUUCAGACGGAGGGAGUACUCA